AUUGAACGCUGGCGGCAUGCCUUACACAUGCAAGUCGAACGGCAGCGCGGGCUUCGGCCUGGCGGCGAGUGGCGAACGGGUGAGUAAUACAUCGGAACGUGCCCUGUUGUGGGGGAUAACUAGUCGAAAGAUUAGCUAAUACCGCAUACGACCUGAGGGUGAAAGCGGGGGACCGUAAGGCCUUGCGCAAUAGGAGCGGCCGAUGUCUGAUUAGCUAGUUGGUGGGGUAAGAGCCUACCAAGGCGACGAUCAGUAGCUGGUCUGAGAGGACGAUCAGCCACACUGGGACUGAGACACGGCCCAGACUCCUACGGGAGGCAGCAGUGGGGAAUUUUGGACAAUGGGGGCAACCCUGAUCCAGCAAUGCCGCGUGUGUGAAGAAGGCCUUCGGGUUGUAAAGCACUUUUGUCCGGAAAGAAAUCCUCUGCCCUAAUACGGCGGGGGGAUGACGGUACCGGAAGAAUAAGCACCGGCUAACUACGUGCCAGCAGCCGCAGUAA
rnacentral:rRNA from 1 species